UACAGAGGGUGCAAGCGUUGCUCGGAUUUACUGGGCGUAAAGCGUACGCAGACGGUGAGGAAGGUCGGAUGUGAAAGCCCUGGGCUCAACCCAGGAACUGCAUCCGAAACCCCCUCGCUAGAGUAUAGGAGAGGGAAGCGGAAUUCCUGGUGUAGAGGUGAAAUUCGUAGAUAUCAGGAGGAACAUCUGCGGCGAAGGCGGCUUCCUGGCCUAUUACUGACGUUUCAGGUACGAAAGCGUGGGUAGCAAACAGG
rnacentral:rRNA from 1 species